GAUUAAAAUGGCAGUAUUCAGCCCUCAUAUAUCAAUAAUCACCCUAAAUGUUAAUGGAUUGAAUUCUCCAAUCAAAAGACACAGAUGGCUAGAUGGAUUAAAAAACGAGACCCAAC